rnacentral:rRNA from 1 species
GCAUAGCUAAAACAUGCAAGUCGAGCGAAGCAGCAGCAAUGCUGACUGAGCGGCGAAAGGGUGAGGAAUACAUUUCUACGUACCCCGAGGUCGAGGAUAGCCAUGGGAAACUGCGGGUAAUACUCGAUGUGGUCCGAAAGGAUCAAAGGUUUACCGCCUUGGGAGCGGGGAAUGUCCUAUCAGGUAGUUGGUGAGGUAAUGGCUCACCAAGCCGAAGACGGGUAGCAGGUGUGAGAGCACGGCCUGCCACAUCGAAACUGAGACACUGUUCGGACUCCUACGGGAGGCUGCAGUAACGAAUCUUCCGCAAUGCGCGAAAGCGUGACGGGGUAAUGCCGCGUGCAGGAUGAAGCCCCUCGGGGUGUAAACUGCUGUCAGGGUUCACCAACACAAUGAGGAGACCCAAAGGAAGAGCCGGCUAACUCUGUGCCAGCAGCCGCGGUAAUACAGAGGGCUCAAGCGUUAAUCGGAAUCACUGGGCUUAAAGCGUGCGUAGGCGGGCCUGCAGGCCCGUUGUGAAAUCCCACGGCUCAACCGUGGAAUCGCAGCGGGAACCGCAGGCCUUGAGGCAGGUAGAGGUGGCUGGAACGAUAGGU